ncrna:Streptococcus dysgalactiae subsp. equisimilis ATCC 12394 GEBRO RNA
AAAAAGAUUUUUUUUUGAGAAUAUUCAAGAAGUUUGGUGUCUUUUUUGAGAUGACACACUCCAGGCGUGAAAGACCGCUGAUAAAAGUGUCCGCACCCCCUAACGGGUUACAAGUAGGGGAGGGCGAAAGUGGGUACAAGUGGGGUGCUAGACCCCCAAAAAGUCCCCUCAAAAGGGACACAUCUAAGGGCUUGAUAGUCUAUGAUGAAUGACACCAAGAGUUGGCUGAUGGCAACAUGAAAGGACACGUGCAAGACCUGAAAAGGUCACUUGUAGGGCACGCAGACGCAAGCAAAAAGCACGUUCAAGACUUGAAAUAGCUUUGAAGUUAUGUAACCU